GUCGUUGUCGUUGUUGUUGUUCUCGUUGUUGUUGUUGUUGUUGUUGUUGUUGUUGUUGUUGUUGUUGUUGUUGUUGUUGUUGUUGUUGUUGUUGUUGUCGUUGUUGUCGUUGUUGUUGUUGUUGUCGUUGUUGUUCUCGUUGUUGUUCUCGUUGUUGUUGUUGUUGUUGUUGUUGUUGUUGUUGUUGUUGUUGUUGUUGUUGUUGUUGUUGUUGUUGUUGUUG
rnacentral:lncRNA from 1 species